CCAAAGGCGCUUUUAAGAGCCACCAAUUUUUUCAAGUAUAGAAGG
rfam:Pygoscelis adeliae contig20335, whole genome shotgun sequence.